CCCCCUCUCCCCCCUUCCCCCCCCCCAGGUGGAGCCCCCUGCCCCUCCCCCGCCGCGCCCUGACCCCGCCCGGUGGGCCCAGGCGUCCGGGCCCCUCCCCCGCUGCCAAAUAAAGAGCCAUGGAGCUUU